rnacentral:ncRNA from 1 species
GAGAGCGCAGUACAAGGGAGAGUUGUAUACUGCGUUCGGGAACGAUGAAUCGCUCCCGAAAAGGAAUUCAUUGAUUCUUUCCCAAUUGGUUGGACCGUAGGUGCGAUUAUUUACUUCAC